rnacentral:lncRNA from 1 species
UGACCCUUGGAUGAAAGUGAGCGGUAAGCCAGAUGCUGCACAGGGAUUAAAAUACUAUCUAAAGUUCUGGGACACCAAAGAAAAGUGUGGUAUCCUCACAGUACGCCUAUCAGGCAAGGAUGAAUGCGAAAUGCACCAAUGGGAUAGUGCAGUUGAUCAUGAAGCCUCAGAGUGCAUGAAAAAAUACAAAGAUUUAUGUAAAGGAAAACAAUCAUACGACGUUUAUUCAUCCAGCUGCAAGUCUGGCUCCAAAUCAAAUUGAUGUAAAAGCUUUUGAGAAGAUAAGCAUCUUGGCGAAAAAAUUAUCUCAAAAGUAUAUUUUGUAGAAUGUAGCAGUAAAACGGAGCAUGUCUAAAAAUCAAAGAA